CCAUCAUGCAUCCGCGCCUCGGGGUGCCUGGCUCAGCCUCAGGCAUGAGACCUGUACCAGCCCCCGGGAGCCGUGCGGGGCCAACAAUGAGGAGCAGAAUGCAAGGGGCGGCCUCGCUCCCCUGGCCACCGCGGGGGUCGCGGCCUCCCAUUACAUAGCGCGUGUCUCGAGCCCUGGCCUGCUCUCGGCACCGCCACAACGGGCGUAAUAUGGCCGCUGGUGCCGGGACCUGCCGGGCGCGCGGAGGGUCGGGCCGAGGUCCGGGAUCCGGAACUGCUCCCGGCAUUCCUCGCGAGUGUAUGGCGUGGGCUCCCUUCCCCCUCUGUGGGUCCCGCGAGGAGACUCUCGGGCUUUGAGGGUGUGCCUGCACAGGAGACAGCACCAGCCAAGCUGAUUGUGUAUCUACAGCGUUUCCGGCCUCAAGACUAUCAGCGCCUGCUAGAAGUGAACAGCUCCAGAGAGAGGCCACAGGAGACUGAAGAUCCUGACCACUGCCUGGGCUAGGGGUGUCACUUCCUAGAAGGGGAAGGGAACUCUGGGUCUAACGGAGUCCACUCCUGGGCCCACUGUGCC
rnacentral:lncRNA from 1 species